CUGGGGCCUCAGGGACGGGCCUUUCGUCUGGCCAGUGAACCUGGGCACUUGACCAGGAUGGCCCUGGAGGCUGGCCCAGGUGGACAUUGACAGCCACCUGGCUCAGUGCUUGGCGGACAGCACGGAAGACGUGGUGUGGUGAGCACCGUGCCCUCAUCCCCGCAGGCCCCUCCACUUCAGCCGACACGUGGAAAAGCUGCCUGUGUAGUAAACCUGUCACUGAACUGCUUGUCAUGUUCUCUUUCUGUUGAAACCCAAACGGCGGAUCCUUUUUCUCUCUUGGCUUAUGCUCAGCAGAGGGGCUGGCUGUGGUCAGAAAGCAGACUGAUGCUGGACUGAGGCUGGGCAGGCCAAGCCAGCCGACGGUUCGGGAGCUGAACUGGGCAUGUGCGCCUGAGCGGGCCCGUUGGGCACAGGUGACAGGCUGGGGCAGCUUGCUCUCCUCACUCUCCCAUGUCCAUCCCCCAGAGUGCUGCUGCGGUGAGGAAACUGUCCCAGGGUGGUGCCCUGGGGCCCCGCCAUCGGCCGGCUGGCUGGGGAGCCCAGGCGGCUCCUGCUGGAACAGGAUUUAAGGGGAUGGGAUCUGCGGAGGUGCCAUGGGCAGUGGCAGGCCAUCUUGGUGUCAGUCUCACGUGGGUUUUCAGGGCAGGGGAGCGAUGUGCUGUUUGGCCCGGUUCUAAAAGAACCGGGCUUCAGUGCCACCUCCAGCCUGACACCCUCGUGUCUGCCUCAGCCAUGGUGGCUGGAAGGGGCCGACAGAAAGCCCCGAGAUUAACUUGCAGAAGUCCCUAUUUCCUUUCAAAAAUGACCUCACACCAGCCACGAAAAGAUGUGGAGAGAACUUAAAUGCAAAUUACCGAGUGAAAAACACCAACCUGAAAAGGCCACAUCCCAUGUGAUCCCAACUGAGAUUCUGGAAAAGACACAGCUACAGAGCUGCUCAAAAGGUUAGUGUGGGGGAGGGGCCCGGGGGCAGCGGAGCAGAGGGUGUGGGGCAGUGAGGUGGCUCUGCUUACGGUGGGCAAGUCCUCAAACGUUUUGUCCAAACCCACAGGACCUGCAACAUGAAGAUGUAAACAGGGCCCCUGGUGGGUGGUGACGUGUCCGUGCAGGUCCAUCAGCUAUAACAUGUACUCUCUGGGGACACUGGGGGGAGGCUAUGUGGGAGACAGGGGAACAUGGGAAAUCCCUGUGCCUUCCCCUCAAUUUUGCUGUGAACCAAAACUGCGCUAAUAAAAUGUUUAAAAAAUGGCUUCAAAAACCUCUGCUUCCUGGAAACACCUACUUUUAAUGAAAAUAAUAACAGUAAGCGUUGUCAUUAAAGUCUUUAAUAGAUGUGCAAGAACACGAACGACCUUGGCCGAAGGUGAGAACAUCCACAGAAGGAGAACCGGCCAGCCACGGGCUCCGCUAAUUAAUUGUACAAAAGCACACGCACGGAUUGACCGCUUUACAAUCGUGGCGUCACCAGAGUUUCCGCGAACCAUCUCAAAAGCACACACACAUCGCGACGAGCUGCUCGCCAAUGUCAGGAUCUCUGAUCCCCACCCUCACUGCAGUACAUCCCUCACCUGUCACUUAUAAAACACAUGGCUAUACAUGAAAGCCUUCCUGCAUUGGUGAGCACGGUGGCCUGCACACGCCUCGCACACGAGCGAGCAAGCUGGCUGCCGGGAAGCUCCUUGGCAACACCCACACCGAAGUGCAUGCCCUGAACUUGGACAAGUCCCGGGCCCCGGGCCUGACUGAGGAAAGGUGCUGUCACUGCCCAACGCAGCAGGAGGAAGGGGUCCCUUCCUGGGCACCCUGGGGUCUCCCUCCCCAGGUGACGUCAGCACAUCCCAGCGCUCGGUCACCAGUCCUGAGUGACCGCAGAGCCCUCAGAUCAGGGCUCUGCUGCUGAAGGGCCCUGCCAGCUAAGACCCAGAGUCGGUUCUCGGGUUCUGCCUUGUGGUCCCUGAUCUCAGUCUUGGGGAGCAAGUCUUCCUGGUGACACUUGGGGCUGUGGGGCACUACUUGUCUGCCACGGCAGUGGCUCCUGCAUUUUUCCUUUUAUCAUAAUCUGCCUCAAACCGCCAGCCACACGAUAGAGAAAUGAGUCCUGGCCUGUCACAGAAGCACAGAGAGGACAUGGCGAUGGAGGCUAAGGUCGCGCGAGGGAUGUUUGGGGACUUGGUGUCUGAGGAGCCCUCUCCAGUAUGCUGCCCGGGCUCGCGUCACACCUAGCAUAUUAGGGACUGGAAAACCCAUGACUUACAUCUUCCUAGAAAGCCUUUGGCUUGUCCCUAAGAAGCCACCUAAGAAGGAGGGUGACGGGGUGACACGUGCCACCUCUGCUGGGAGUCGGAGGUGUGCUGCCUCAGGAAAGUGCAGCGUGUCUGUGGGUAUUCUAGGUUCACUGUCCCACUUUAAGGCGAGGGGCCCAUCUACAUAUCUUUGCAAAUUUCCUCAGCAGCAUCAUUACCGAUAAAAAUAUUUUCCAAAAAUCUACGUAACAGAAGACAUCAUGUAGGCACUGCUUAGUGUUUUCAGAAAUAUAUUUUGAGCAGAUAUAGUUUCCAGCUUUUUUUUUUUUUUUUUUGGUGUACUGGUGCUUUGGUGAGCAAUGUUUUCGAAUCUGUCAUCCAAUUUUCCUCAUCCUGGUCCCACGCGCUGGGGGGGGGACCAUGGUGCCCACCUGGGUAAGGGGUGACCGACUUCAGCGUUAGACCCCACGGCCACUUACACGCUCGGUGGGAAAACACUUGUU